GAAAUGCGAUAAGUAAUGUGAAUUGCAGAAUUCAGUGAAUCAUCGAAUCUUUGAACGCACAUUGCGCCCGCCAGUGUUCUGGCGGGCAUGCCUGUUCGAGCGUCAUUUCAACCAUCAAGCCCCCGGCUUGUGUUGGGGACCUGCGGCUGCCCGCAGGCCCUGAAAAACAGUGGCGGGCUCGCUGUCACACCGAGCGUAGUAGCAUACAUUCUCGCUCAGGGCGUGCUGCGGGUUCCGGCCGUUAAACGACCUUCAUAACCCAAGGUUGACCUCGGAUCAGGUAGGAAGACCCGCUGAACUUAAGC
rnacentral:misc_RNA from 1 species